CACACAUCACUCUCUCCUGAUGUUGCUAAAGAAAAUCACUCUCUCCUUAUCCCCUCCCAAAACAACUCUCUCCUGAUCCCCUUUCUCCUUCACGUCUCUCCUUGUCACUCCAGAAUUGUUGACUUCCGAUGAACUCCGGUUACUUCCGCUGGUGAAUAGGUGAUGAGGGCGUGGAUCUUGUCCCCUGCGGCGGGGCGGAGGUGAGCGAUGCAACACGGACAUCUCCAGUUUGGUGAGGCAGCCAUCGAUGUGAGAGUCAAAGGUGGAGGAGCUGUCGCAGUUGGGUUGGCGGAGGGUGGCUCGUCGCCCCUAACAUUUUUCUUCCAGCGCAGCCCUACAAAUGUUGUUGCCUUCGGACUCCAAAAUCAACCAGAAUCAUGCACAACUGAAGUGUGCCACUAUAGAAGGACCAUGAAGUGGUACCAGCUCCUCUCUGUUUUCUUUCAAUUUUGCAAUGCUUAGAUAAAAUUGCUUGUUCAGUUAUGUGUCCUGUCUUUUUUUAUCUCCCAGUUUCCAGAGGAAAUCUAUUACGCACAAAUUAUUCCAUAUGUUUGUUGCUAUUAGUGAUGAUUGCUGAUGGUAACUUGUUACUUUGUUAGUCAAAAUUUUGAAUUUGUUCAGGCCACAUACAAUUUUUUCGUGGCAUGGGACCGACAUUGACAGUGUUAUACUGUUAUGCCCCUUAUCCCACAUGAAUUUAUACACAUAUUUGUGAGUA